rnacentral:rRNA from 1 species
AGCGAACGCUGGCGGCAGGCUUAACACAUGCAAGUCGAGCGGGCAUCCUUGUGGUGUCAGCGGCAGACGGGUGAGUAACGCGUGGGAACGUGCCCUUCGGUUCGGAAUAACUCAGGGAAACUUGAGCUAAUACCGGAUACGUGCGAGAGCAGAAAGGUUUAUCUGCCGAAGGAUCGGCCCGCGUCUGAUUAGCUAGUUGGUGAGGUUAUGGCUCACCAAGGCGACGAUCAGUAGCUGGUCUGAGAGGAUGAUCAGCCACACUGGGACUGAGACACGGCCCAGACUCCUACGGGAGGCAGCAGUGGGGAAUAUUGGACAAUGGGGGCAACCCUGAUCCAGCCAUGCCGCGUGAGUGAUGACGGCCUUAGGGUUGUAAAGCUCUUUUCUUCGGGACGAUAAUGACGGUACCGGAGGAAUAAGCCCCGGCGAACUUCGU